rnacentral:rRNA from 1 species
CUCGUAGACGGUUCGUCGCGUCCGGUGUGAAAGUCCAUCGCUUAACGGUGGAUCCGCGCCGGGUACGGGCGGGCUUGAGUGCGGUAGGGGAGACUGGAAUUCCCGGUGUAACGGUGGAAUGUGUAGAUAUCGGGAAGAACACCAAUGGCGAAGGCAGGUCUCUGGGCCGUUACUGACGCUGAGGAGCGAAAGCGUGGGGAGCGAACA